rnacentral:rRNA from 1 species
UAUGCACGCUGGCGGCGUGCCUAAUACAUGCAAGUCGAGCGAACAGACGAGGAGCUUGCUCCUCUGACGUUAGCGGCGGACGGGUGAGUAACACGUGGAUAACCUACCUAUAAGACUGGGAUAACUUCGGGAAACCGGAGCUAAUACCGGAUAAUAUAUUGAACCGCAUGGUUCAAUAGUGAAAGACGGUUUUGCUGUCACUUAUAGAUGGAUCCGCGCCGCAUUAGCUAGUUGGUAAGGUAACGGCUUACCAAGGCAACGAUGCGUAGCCGACCUGAGAGGGUGAGCGGCCACACUGGAACUGAGACACGGUCCAGACUCCUACGGGAGGCAGCAGUAGGGAAUCUUCCGCAAUGGGCGAAAGCUUGACGGAGCAACGCCGCGUGAGUGAUGAAGGUCUUCGGAUCGUAAAACUCUGUUAUUAGGGAAGAACAAAUGUGUAAGUAACUAUGCACGUCUUGACGGUACCUAAUCAGAAAGCCACGGCUAACUACGUG